CGAAGCAGACCAGAUGGCCGCCGUCCACCGUAGCCUUUGGCGAAGGUGGAGGGAGGAAAGUCCGGGCUCCACAGGGCAUGGUGCUGGAUAACGUCCAGCGAGGGUAACCUCAGGGAAAGUGCCACAGAGAGAAGUCCGCCCCCCACACCCUGGCGACAGGGUCCGCCGAAGCCUCGGCGAAGGCGGAAGGGGGGUAAGGGUGAAAGGGUGAGGUAAGAGCUCACCGGGUUCGGCGGCGACGCCGGAUGCCAGGUAAACCCCACCAGGAGCAAGACCAAAUAGGGAAGCGUUAAGGACGGCCCGUCCGUGCUUCCGGGUUGGUUGCUUGAGGGCGUCGGUAACGGCGCUCCUAGAUGAAUGACCAUCGCCCGUCUCCGGGUAACCGGCUGCGGGAACAGAACCCGGCUUACGGGCUGCUUCGGCCA
rnacentral:RNase_P_RNA from 16 species